GUGGGGAAUAUUGGACAAUGGGCGCAAGCCUGAUCCAGCAAUGCCGCGUGUGUGAAGAAGGUCUUCGGAUCGUAAAGCACUUUCGACGGGGACGAUGAUGACGGUACCCGUAGAAGAAGCCCCGGCUAACUUCGUGCCAGCAGCCGCGGUAAUACGAAGGGGGCUAGCGUUGCUCGGAAUUACUGGGCGUAAAGGGCGCGUAGGCGGCUCUGUGAGUCAGGCGUGAAAUUCCUGGGCUUAACCUGGGGACUGCGCUUGAUACUGCAGGGCUUGAGGCCGAGAGAGGGUGGUGGAAUUCCCAGUGUAGAGGUGAAAUUCGUAGAUAUUGGGAAGAACACCGGUGGCGAAGGCGACCACCUGGCUCGGUACUGACGCUGAGGCGCGACAGCGUGGGGAGCAAACAGGAUUAGAAACCCCGGUAGUCC
rnacentral:rRNA from 1 species